rnacentral:rRNA from 1 species
UACGUAGGGGGCAAGCGUUAUCCGGAUUUACUGGGUGUAAAGGGAGCGUAGACGGCGAUGCAAGCCAGAUGUGAAAGCCCGGGGCUCAACCCCGUCGUGCCGUUGAAACUGGCGUUCUUGAGUGAGCGAGAAGUAUGCGGAAUGCGUGGUGUAGCGGUGAAAUGCAUAGAUAUCACGCAGAACUCCGAUUGCGAAGGCAGCAUACCGGCGCUCAACUGACGCUCAUGCACGAAAGCGUGGGUAUCGAACAGG